rnacentral:snRNA from 1 species
CCUUCCUUGGAUGUCUGAGAU